rnacentral:rRNA from 1 species
UACACGACCGUACCGCAAACCGACACUGGUGCGCGAGAUGAGUAUUCUAAGUCGCUUGAGAGAACUCAGGAGAAGGAACUCGGCAAAUUGACACCGUAACUUCGGAAGAAGGUGUGCCUUUAGUAGGUGAACCUGUACAAGGGGAGCCCAAUGAGGUUGCAAAAAAUCGGUGGCUGCGACUGUUUAAUAAAAACACAGCACUCUGCAAACACGAAAGUGGACGUAUAGGGUGUGACGCCUGCCCGGUGCUGGAAGAUUAAAUGAUGGGGUGCAAGCUCUUGAUUGAAGUCCCAGUAAACGGCGGCCGUAACGAUAACGGUCCUAAGGUAGCGAAAUUCCUUGUCGGGUAAGUUCCGACCUGCACGAAUGGCGUAACGAUGGCCACACUGUCUCCUCCUGAGACUCAGCGAAGUUGAAAUGUUUGUGAUGAUGCAAUCUCCCCGCGGAAAGACGGAAAGACCCCAUGAACCUUUACUGUAGCUUUGUAUUGGACUUUGAACAGAUCUGUGUAGGAUAGGUGGAGGCUUUGAAGUGUGGUCGCUAGAUCGCAUGGAGCCAACGUUGAAAUACCACCCUGGUGUGUUUGAGGUUCUAACCUAGGCCCGUAAUCCGGGUCGGGGACAGUGCAUGGUAGGCAGUUUGACUGGGGCGGUCUCCUCCCAAAGCGUAACGGAGGAGUUCGAAGGUACGCUAGGUACGGUCGGACAUCGUGCUAAUAGUGCAAUGGCAUAAGCGUGCUUAACUGCGAGACUGACAAGUCGAGCAGAUGCGAAAGCAGGACAUAGUGAUCCGGUGGUUCUGUAUGGAAGGGCCAUCGCUCAACGGAUAAAAGGUACUCUGGGGAUAACAGGCUGAUACCGCCCAAGAGUUCAUAUCGACGGCGGUGUUUGGCACCUCGAUGUCGGCUCAUCUCAUCCUGGGGCUGUAGCCGGUCCCAAGGGUAUGGCUGUUCGCCAUUUAAAGAGGUACGUGAGCUGGGUUUAAAACGUCGUGAGACAGUUUGGUCCCUAUCUUCCGUGGGCGCUGCAGAUUUGAGGAAGCCUGCUCCUAGUACGAGAGGACCGGAGUGGACACACCUCUGGUGUAUCGGUUGUCACGCCAGUGGCAUUGCCGAGUAGCUAUGUGUGGAAGAGAUAACCGCUGAAAGCAUCUAAGCGGGAAACUCGUUUCAAGAUGAGAUCUGCCGGGGCCUUGAGCCCCCUAAAGAGUCGUUCAAGACCAGGACGUUGAUAGGUCGGGUGUGGAAGCGCAGUAAUGCGUUAAGCUAACCGAUACUAAUUGCUCGUGCGGCUUGACC